rnacentral:snRNA from 1 species
UUAUUAAGACCAUCUCCAUCACU